GAUCCAACUUGAAUGCUUCCUGAUUAAAUAUAUACAGGAGUGAUUUCAGAGGAAUUUAAGUUUUGGAUCAUUCUUUUGAGAAAGAAAGAAAAGUACCCUUUUAAAAGAGCGUACUUUCAACAUAAAGACGACGAGGAUAAAGGCAUUUAUGAUGAACUACUUCCACAUAAUGAAUAAUUGAACAAAGGAGAGAAUUGUGAGAGUGAGAAAAAGUGAGACAAAGAAGAAAAACUAUAAAUCAGCAAAAUACAGUGCCAAGAGCUCUGGACCACAAAUCAGAAGACCUGAGCCCUAAUUCCUUUCCAGUCAUUGGAUUUGUUCGUCGCUUGCCAAAAUAGCAGCGAACUCUCUGUCAAACUGCAACUCAUUUUAUCGGAGCAAAAACUGAACAAAGAACUGCUAUCAUUUCUGAGGUCAGAGGCAGUGCAGCUUGUGUUACAACUCAAAAGAGUAAUACUCUGAAAAAAGAAAAAAAAAGAUGGCGCUGAAAAUAAACAUGUUCAGCAGCCAUUGUGAUUCAACUUACCCAGAUGUGCUUUUCAUGAGAUGGAGAAGGACGGAUGGAAAAGAAAAGCACACAAAUGUUAAUGGAUACAGUUCAAUCCAAAGAAAACCAUGGAAUAAAACAAGAGCAUUAUUUAAGAUGUGAGAAAGCUCAGGUAUGAGAAAGACAUGGUGCCAUUUUGUAUUUCAUCAUGACACACAUACUCACUGCGUCGAAAAGCAUAGUCAGGCUGAGGGUAGUUCUAAUAGUUGACCAAUAAGUCUAUGUCUUGAGUAUGAGCCACU
rnacentral:lncRNA from 10 species